GUAGAGCCUUCACGCGGCAACAAGUCGCCCAAUCCCCCCAGGACGGGAACGUAGCAAGGGUAAGCGGCCUCUGUUGGGUGCGUGAAGGUUUUUCUUU
rnacentral:SRP_RNA from 1 species